AAGUCGUAACAAGGUUUCCGUAGGUGAACCUGCGGAAGGAUCAUUAUCGAGUUCAUGCCCUCCGGGGUAGAAUCUCCCACCCGGUUUAUCUUACCUUAUGUUGCUUUGGCGAGCCGACCGCUUAGGCCACCAGCGACAUGCUGGUGUGCGCCCGCCAAAGGUCCCAAAAUCAUGUUGUUUAAUGUGCCGUCCGAGUACUAUCUAAUAGUUAAAACUUUCAACAACGGAUCUCUUGGUUCUGGCAUCGAUGAAGAACGCAGCGAAAUGCGACAAGUAAUGUGAAUUGCAGAAUUCAGUGAAUCAUCGAAUCUUUGAACGCACAUUGCGCCCCUUGGUAUUCCGAGGGGCAUGCCUGUCCGAGCGUCAUGAGACCAAUCAAGCUCUGCUUGGCAUUGGGCCAUGCCGACGAUGGCAGGCCCCAAAUCUAGUGGCGGUACCGCGGGCUCUAAACGUAGUAAUAUCUCCCGUUAUAGACGUCCGCGGUAAACGACCAGGAACUUCAUCCCAAAGAGUUGACCUCGGAUCAGGUAGGGAUACCCGCUGAACUUAAGCAUAUCAAUAAGCGGAGGACAAGAAACCAACAGGGAUUGCCUCAGUAACGGCGAGUGAAGCGGCAACAGCUCAAAUUUGAAAUCUGGCCCUUCCAGGGUCCGAGUUGUAAUUUGGAGAAGAUGCUUCGGGCGUGGCGCCGGUCUAAGUUCCUUGGAACAGGACGUCAUAGAGGGUGAGAAUCCCGUACGUGACUGUGCGCCCACGUCCGUGUGAAGCUCUUUCGACGAGUCGAGUUGUUUGGGAAUGCAGCUCAAAAUGGGUGGUAAAUUUCAUCUAAAGCUAAAUAUGGGCCAGAGACCGAUAGCGCACAAGUAGAGUGAUCGAAAGAUGAAAAGCACUUUGGAAAGAGAGUUAAACAGCACGUGAAAUUGUUGAAAGGGAAGCGCUCGCAAUCAGACUUGCGCGCGGCCGAUCAUCCGGGGUUUUCCCCGGUGCACUCGGUCGUGCUCAGGCCAGCAUCGGUUCGGGUGGUCGGAUAAAGGUCGUGGGAAUGUAGCUCCUCUCGGGGAGUGUUAUAGCUCGCGGCGCCAUGCGACCCACCGGGACCGAGGACCGCGCUUCGGCUAGGAUGCUGGCGUAAUGGUCGUGAGCGAUC
rnacentral:rRNA from 1 species